UACGUAGGCGGAUUGGAAAGUAGGGGGUGAAAUCCCAGGGCUCAACCCUGGAACUGCCUCCUAAACUAUCAGUCUAGAGUUCGAGAGAGGUGAGUGGAAUUCCAAGUGUAGAGGUGAAAUUCGUAGAUAUUUGGAGGAACACCAGUGGCGGAGGCGGCUCACUGGCUCGAUACUGACGCUGAGGUACGAAAGUGUGGGGAGCAAACAGGAUUAGAUACCCUGGUAGUCC
rnacentral:rRNA from 1 species